AUAUAAUUUUAUAUAUUUUAUAUAUACAAUAUGUACAUACUUAUAUAUAUUGUAUAUACAUACACAUAUUAUACAUGUACAUACACACACACACAUACACGUGCUACUUCUUCACUUCCUCUCAAUCUAGAGUAAGCAUCCAGCAUUCCCCCCCACUGGGUAUUCCCCUUCCUAACCCCUUCAUCUGGUCCAGGACAAUUAGGGUCACUUUAUUUUAUGCAAAUGUAUUAGUCUCCUAGAAUUAGCAGAACAAAACACCACAAACAGAGUGAUUUAGAACAACAGAAAAUUUAUUGUCUCAUGGUUCUAGAGGCUGAAAGUCAAAAUGAAAGUGUUGGCAGGGCCACAGAGGGAAAAUACUUCCUUGCCUUGUCCCAGUUUCCGGGUUUGCUGGCAGUCUUUAGCAUUCCUUGCUUGCAGCUGUGUAACCCCAGUCUCUGCCUUCAUUGUUACAUGACAUUCACCCUGUGUGUCUCUGUUCCUUUGCGUAACCUUCUUCUAAGGACACCAGUCAUAUCAGAUCCGGGGCUCAUGGAUCCAGGAUGACCUCAACUACUUCCAUCUGCAGUGAUCUUUCUAAAUAAGGCUGGUUGAUAAGAACUUGUGCAGCUUUUCCAUCUGGGCCUCUUGGAGCACUUGCUUUUGAAAUUCAGCCAUCAUGCCAUGAGGAAGCCAAACUGGCCCCAAGGAGUGGCCUCUGGCCAACAGCCCCAGAUGAACUCCCAGCUGACACCCGCACCAACUUUACAGCCAUAUGACAGCUAUGUUUCUUGUUUGAUUCUCAAAUUGAAACCAUGGGUAAAGAGUCAAAUCCAUUUCACUUGCUUUCACCAAUCAAGGUCUUUUUAAGUCUUAAUGCAUCUUUUAAGCUGCAUGGAGCCUAAAGAGUAAGACAUUUGCCUGAGCUGUCUUCAGGAACUUAAGAGUCUCAGCUGUGUCUAGUUUGGGCUGAGCUGAUGAGACUGGAUAGGACCACUAAUCCCUCAGCUGGGCCUGUGUGCAAGUCUGCUGGUGACCUGGUGAACCUGUGGAGGUCUGAAGCCUAGUUACGCCUGCGCAGAAGGACAAUUCCCGCACCAUUUUCCAAUCACCUUUCUUCACCCUCCCCACACUGUUGGUGCUUCCCAUGCCUCAGACUGCUGUCUCCUUAUUCCUGACCUCAUAAAUACCCUGAGCCUGCUGGUUUUGUAGGGGGGUUUGUGCAUGUGUACCUUCACUCAGGACACUUGCACCCCAAAUCUGGGCUUGUGCACUCUGGCUUUGGAGCCCAUGCAGGAAAAAGGCAGAGUUUUUAGCCCUCUGCUGAAUAUUUUGGAGUUUUGAAUUUAAGGACAGAGAGCUGCUUCCUGAAGGAAGGGAAAGCUCUAGCCAGACUUACAGUUCCCACCAAGACAAUUUUAGGGCUUCUUGGAAUGGCUGGCAUUGCCACUUCUGGAUCCUUCCUUUGGACUCAUAGCAAAGCCCUUUGAACGAAGCCUUUAAAGGAGGAGACUGUGACCCUCUAGGACAAAAUCUUGGAGAAUAAACAUUCAGAAAACUGGCUCCAUCAUUGCUGGACUGGACCUUAUGAGCAAUAGAUGGGCAACGGAAAGCAUGUUUGACAAAAACCAGGACCAAGAUCAUCCAAACCUAGGCUGGUUCCAGACGCAGGCACUGACUUCUCCCAGGGGCCGGGUGAACCCCAACAGAUCUUAAGUUGUUUUCCCGAAACUGUGAGCAAGACAUCAAGAACUACUUCUGCAUAAAUGACCUUGGGCUCCACCUGCGCCUGCCCCAGACUCCCGAGUCUGAUCCUAAUUAAUUGCACUCUCUUGAUGAUUCCAUGGAUUCUGGAGUCUGUUUGUGCCAGGAAUUCAGACAGGAAUGUUCCACAUGCUCCAGUGAGAACUGAAAAGUGAGUCCAGUAUACAAGGAAGGCCCCAAGUAAGUGAGAGGGCAACUUAGACAAAAUCAGAAUUCUUCUCUUAUUUUUGGCCUAACUCGUGAUAUGGUAAAAGUGUCAAUAGGUUCUUUGGAAAUAAAACAAUCUACUUCCCCGAAGCCUUGUUGGGCAGAGGCUCACCUUCCCUGGGCUCCUCCCAGUGAAGUGCCCAGCAAGGCCCUUUCUGUUUCCCUUGUCAAAUAUGAAAGGCAGCCUCUGGAAGGACUUCCCACCCUCAGCCUCCUCUGUGCAGCCACAGUUCUGUUGUCACCAUUGAUCUCCACAUACGCAUAAACAACAGUCCAUGUGAUUAGCGCCGUGGGCUGGAGGUAAUAAUAGGAGCUUGUUGGGCCUGAGUCAGCUUAGUUUAUGUCUAGGCUGAACAUGUAAACUGUCUCCCUCUGUCAGACAGGGUGAUUUCAUUCCAAGAGUAGUGCUGGAUGGUGUGUGCCAUGCAUCACGCAAAUGAAUAAAUAAAUCCAAGUGGUAAUUGAAUUUCUGCAUUCAUGAUAAGCAUUCCUUGUAAAGGAAAAGAAAGAACACUCAGCAGGGACAAAGAAAGGUGUCCAGGGUAAGGUCUCAUUCUAGCGUGAUUUGUAGCAUCAGAGGGCAACGUGGUGGCAAUACAGAUGAGGGGAUGCAGAGCAUGGAAAAUUCCCCCAACAGGUCUAUUCCAUGGAGAGGCUAAGACCAAAGCGAGCAGGUAUUUUCUGAGUAAGAUUCUUGUCCAACCUUUUCCGUGUAAGUUUUUAUAUGCCUGGAAUCCUUUGCCUGGGAGACAACAGAGGGCAGUGAUUAUGAACACAGGUUCUGGAGACAUGGGGGCCUGAAUUUUCUGGGUGUGUCAUUUUCUAGCUGUAGAGCACUAGGCAGGCUGAUUUCUCAUCAGGAAGGUUGUGGUAAUAAUCUCACUCAGAUGGUCAGAAGGACUAAAUUGGUUUGUUUGCAUUAUUUGUUCUUGGCCAGCACCCCCUAGUAGGAACUCAUGGAUGGGUUCCUUUUAGGGCAUCAAUAGCUGACGCAGCCCCCAAGACACCAAGACCCCGGUUCCUUCAGGUCUUCCUACAUUCCUUCCUCCAUGAUACACCAAGAGUACAGUAAAAGAUUUCCCAUUGAGUCUUUUCCCCAUAUGUUUGUAAACAACAACACCUCCACAGUGCUCCUCAGUGACUCACAUCACAGCAGAAGGCACGGGGGUUUGCUUAACUAAGACCUGUUUUCUGACAGCUCCUUAUGUGGCCCCUCUUCCAGGCUGCUCCAGGGCUUCCCUCUUCCCUUGGAUCAGCAGGUCAUCUGUGGACCGCUCCUUUAUUCCUGAAGGGUGCUGGCUGAUAAGACUCUCUGAAUUACCUCCUGGAUGUAAUGAAUGUCCACCAACACUAAGAUCCUGGGACCAUGGCUGACCUCAUGCAUCUCACACCUUCCUAGACCUGGGUUCUUCUCACCUGAUUUGAGCACACGUUUGUCCCAGCUCAAUUUUCUACUCCUAGAGAUCUUAGAACAUGGUCAGCUUACAGAGAAUUUAUGUAAAAUUGUGUGUGUAUAUACACAUGUCUCUACGUGCUUAUUUUCAUUAAAGGGUACAUGUUGUUUAUGAUUCUCAAGCUGUCAGCUGCCUUCCCAAACAUUAGGACCCAUCCAUAGUAACUGGUGUCUAUUAUCCUGCAGAAAUCCUGGGGGCACAGAACUUGGAAGAGCUAGGGGUUCUUGGUUCCAUUCUAAUCUGGGUCUCUGGAAGCACAGCUUUAUAAAGCCUCAGUUCUCCUGCCUUUCUUUCCUUAUCUACUCUCUCUCUCCAGUCCCUCAGGGUAAGUUUCAUUUCUUCACUAAAUUCUUUACCUGGGGAUGCUGCAGUGCCUAACUCGUCUCUUCUUCCUCCUCACUCCUCUUUAACAAAUAAUAGCCCUCUUCUUUUUUAAAACACUUGUGAAAAAUCACCCUCUUUAUACUCCCCUAGUAUGAAGUCCAUGUCACUGUCUUUGAUAGUGUCCCCAGCAUCUAGCCUGGAGCCAACCACAUGGUGCUGAUCGUAGAUAUUCCUGGAGUGCCUGGAAUUAUCCUCCCUGAGUCUGCAACUUCUGCCAGUGGUUCCGUGUCCUCCCCCUCAUUGUUUUCAGAGGUUCUGUGCAAAGAAAAGGGUCUGUUUUCCUUCCACUUCUACUCUGAUGGAGGACUGUAUAAUGCUUGAAUCCCGGAAACAUUUUUGGUGGAUCAAAUGAAAUCAGGUAUAGAGAAUGUUUAGCUCGGUGCCUGGCACAGAGUGGGGAUAAAUAGCUGAUGACAAAUAUUGUUGGUACUAUUCCAUAGUUCAUGAUUCAGUGAAACUUAGUGUAGGUAACUCCUUUGUGUUUAGCGAUAAAAUGUGUCAUCUUCACUAUGCUCUGUGGGCGCGGAGAGAAGUCUCCACACCGUAUUCAUCAGCAAGUGGGCAGGUAAGAGCUCCUGGCUCUGGCAGUGGAAUACGCAGGCCGGCACACUGCAGUGGAGCGUGUCAUUGUCAGAUGACAGCCCCUCAGGCUGUCUGCUGUCCGGUACUAGCAGUGGGAAGGAGGUAACAGCUGCUUCCCAUGCUCCUGGUAAUUAUGAUGGAGGAUGAUUCAAUUCCACAUAGGAUCCACGACCGGAAGGGAACAAUCUGGGCUAAGUCAGCAGGUGCCUAAUGAAAUUGUUUAGCCUGGGCUGCAGCCUUACCUACCACAAGCUGUGAUCUACUGUGUUCUGACAAAGCAGUCCUGGGAGAUCAUGCUGUUUGGGUAGGGGACGUGAUCAGUAAAAUUCACUCCUGGCAUCCGACCUUCCAAAUUUAUACUGUGACCCAGGUGAUGUGUAGGUUGGAUUGGGGAAUAACUUGCUUUCUGUGGCCAAAGAGGGUUCUCUCUUUAAAUGAAAGAGCAUCACUUCUUUAAGGUGCCCUCCCCAAAUCAGCAGGCACCUUUUCCAGGGCUGCGGAGGCUACCUCUUUAAUGAUUUCCCAUCGCUCUAUAUUGCUUCUGGAGACCACCCAUGGAAAAUGAAUCAGAUGUAUUUUCAUACGGGUUUCAAUUAGAUGCUCAGUUUAUAAGUAUGCCACAGUGUGGUUGUCAGUGAUAGGAAUCUCACACAGUAUUAAGCAACCAGAUUCUGGGUUUUAAAUUCUAUUUAUAUACCUCCUGCUACAGGUGUCCUGCCCCUUCUUUUCAAGCAGGAACUGAGUUGAGGAAAUUGAUCCCUGGGUGCCAAAUGAUGGUGCAAAUGGUUAUAAGGUCACCUUUAUUGAACCUCCUCCUAUGCUUUACUAGUGGAAGAAUACUGGGAGCUUGUAGGAAUGUGGCAUGGAGGUAGUUUGGAUUUUGUAGACUCAGACACAUCAGAAUGAGAGUGACAGCAGUCACCGUGACUUGGUAAGUGUAGUCUAGCCACCUCCAUCCAAGACUCCUGCUUAGGGUGCAUGUCUUUUCCAGCAUAUUUUGUGUGUCUGUCAACUCUGGCAUCCUGACCCAUGUGAUGUAGCAUUUCCAUGCACAUGUCUCAUCAUUAUGGGAUAUGAGUUUAGAUGCUUGAUGGAGAUAAGUUCUAGAACCAACACUGAUUGACUAAUAGCUCAACUUUGUGCCUGGACUGCUUUUUUUUUUUUAAUUUAAUUGCUGCAUGAAUUAUAUUGGCUGGAGUGGAGAGGAUGGGGGUAGGGAUGACUGAUUUCCCUGUUGAUUUAAUGAAAUUGAUAGUUUUUUUAAAAAACAAUUAAAAAACAGGCAAACAAAAUGGACUCAUUUCUCUUUCAAAGUAAAUUGUCUGCUUGUUGGACUGAAUUUGAUUAAAUCAUCUGGUUGUUCUGGCAUCAUGUAGACAGCACACCAUAAUCUUGUGUGUCAAGCUAAUGAACAUUGAAAUGAAUCGAUGAAACAGCUGUUUCCAAUGAAGUAAACAUCAGAGUGUUAUGUAAAUGGCAAUUCCUACACAGCACCAGGUGAUCUGUUUUCUCCUUUGCCCUCAGCAGAGACUGAGGACUGAGAUUACAGGGAGUCGUCUUUAGCUGAAAUUUAAUAAAUCUCUCUAGAAGGUGUCCUCAGUGAAGCCAGAGAGUAAGUUUGCUAACCAUGACCGACUGGAUAUUACAGUGAGCUCACAGCCGUGUAUUUGCCUCUGGUGGGAGGGGAAAGAAUAAAAAAGAAGUGAGCUGGCCCAGGCCUGCUCUUGGCAUGUUGGGACUCAGGGCAGGCGUGCAAAUGGAGAUCUAAAGGACAUAGGUCUUUAGAAGUUGUAAACAAGAUUCACAAACAUUUAGAUAAAAUUAUUUCUUUAUACUUUUCUCUUGACAAACAGAACUUCAUAUUAUCCUGGAAGGCCAGGUUCAAGGUUAAAGUUCUUUGAUUUAUUUAAUUCUGUGCUGAUGGUAGAAGGGCCCAGACUCCAGCCUGUUGCUUGAUAUUCCUUUUUCCAUUUUCAGUUCUUUUCUACACAAAGAGCAGAUAUCCCAGCUUGCAUAUCCAAGCUCCAUUUACACCCCUUAAACUACUGCCUCAUCUUUGGGUUUGCACAUUAUUGGUGUGGCAUCCUGGGGAGAUUAGAUCCAGGGCUCAAGAUCAUUUGGGCAAGCAGUUCUGAAGUCCUAAAUAAUUAAAACUUGGUCUAGAAGAGAGGACAUAAGCUUUUGGUGGUAAAGUUCUUUUGGCAUGUGGAGAGAGACGUGGCUGGAAAAGUCUCAUUCUCUUAUCUAAGGACAGUAGUGAAUUUGUCUCAACUAUGAAAUUCCUUAAUUUAUGUCAUGAUGUAGCUUUUCUUUUCUCUGCAUUAGUGUAUGCUGAGCCUUUCCAUACUCUGUUGGUUGAUUAGCUCUUAGCCACCUGGAAAUUUAUUCAGUGUCCUUUGGUUUUAUCACAACUGAAGAAAAUGGGACUUCUCACAUUCUCGUAAAAUGUAGCAAGCAGUAUUUUAAAAGCAUAGGCUUAGUCUCAUGCUCUCUCAUUUAAAAGCUGUGUGACAUCAGGCUAUUUAGUUACUUCUUGGAAUCUUAUAAUGGGAGUACUAACCCUUAGUUUGUAAGGAGAAAGUGAGAAAAAAGGUCACAUAGUGAAUGCCACGUAAUAGACAUGCAGUAAUAGUUAAUAGUAAUGUUAGUUGUUAUUGCUGUUUUGUUAUUAUAGUUACUGGUCAACAAUGAGGAUUAAGGAGUUCAACUACCUGAACUUGAAUCAUUGCAUUUUUGUGAUACUUAUUGUGUAACCAAAGGCAUAUUAUUGAACCUAUAAAUGCCUGUGUUUCUUCUUUCAUAAACUGGAGAUAAUAAUUGAUUGUACUUCACAGGAUUGUUGUAUUAGUCGGAGUUCUCCAUUGAAACAUAAGUAGUAGGAGAUGUGUGUUUGUGUAUGUGUAUAAUAUAGUUUUAUUAUAGAGAUUGGCUCACAUGGUGAUAGAGGCAGAGAAGUCCUGUGAUCUGAGGUCUGCCAUUGUGCAAGCUGGAGAACAAGAAAAGCCAGUGGUAUAAUUCAGUCCAAAGCCAAAGGCCUGCACGUUAGGGAGGUGAUGGCGUAAGUCCUGAUCUGAGUCCAAAAGCCCGAGAACCAGGGGUGCCAACGUCCAAGAGUAGGAGGAAAUUGAUGUCUCAGCCCAAGCAGAGAGACGGAUUUGCUCUUCCUCCAUCUUUUUGUUCUGCUUGGGUUGGAUGAUGCGCACAUUGGUGAAAGUGAACUUUAUUCAGUCUGUGGUUGCAUUGCUAAUCCCUCUGGAGAUGCUUUCACAGAUGUACAUAGAAAUAAUGUUUUACUAGUCACCUGGGAAUCCUUCAGCCCAUCACGUUGACACAUAAAAUUAGUUUUCACAGUUAUGGUUAAGAUGAAAUGAUAUCAUACAUGGAAAGUGGUUAGACAUAUGCACCCAGUACCCACUCAGUAUUAAUUAUCGUCAUCCCUCUCAAGCUUUGAAGCGGACCUCAAGCUUUGGUUUUGGUGGGAGGAAUGUGUCUGUGGAAAGAGCAGCUCUCUUACAGGGUGAGUCAGAACACUUCAAGCAUCUUUCCUACUUAAGCCUUUUUCCUUUUUUUUAAGUCAAAUCUUUCUAAGUCAGAAGUUUUUUCCCCUGUACCUAUGAAGAAGGAUAGCUGAUUUAAGAGAAAGGACACAAAACUAGUGAGCAUUUUUGAAGCUGGAACCGCUAAAUAGCAGGUACAACAUCUAUUUUGAUGAACUUGCUGUCAUUUCAUUUGAUUCAAGCUUCUGUUUACUUUCAUCUGAGGGUGAUUUUGUUUUUUUCCCUUAGGCAUUCAACAACAUUUUUCAAGGAUACAGCAGCAGGAGGGUGUGAAUUCACCUUCUGGAUACCUAGAUCUGAAAUGUUAAUUAUGUGAAAUGCAUAGGUUGUCCUUUAUAAGAAAAUUUGUUUUUACUGUAACAGUAGGUGAGGAUAAAAAUUAAUUUGUAUAACCCACCACUCUUAUUCAGGAAGUCCUUGGGAAUAAGGGCAGGAUGUUUUGCUUGGCCUGAGGCGAUUGGUCUGAAUCCAUUGAAGAGAGCCCAGCCAGUGUGGAAAGCAUCCAGUAAGCACAGCCUUCUUUAUCUAAAACUGUAAUCCAACAGCCUAAGCCAAAUAACAGUGAACUAAUUUGAAACACAGUGGAAGAGUUUUUUUCCUUGACUUUUGUUUAAAGUUCCAAAUAUUUCUUCUCUAUCAAUGGAAGAACACACGAGUUAAGUGAAUGAGUGGGCCAGAACAAAUAUUUUCAGAAUGGAGAUAGAAUUCUGGCACUUAUUUUUAAAAAGCGCAAAGUGUUCUAUUUCCUAGUUUGUUUAUAGAAUAUGGAAUUCUAUAACUUUUUUUAGAAAUAACUAUCUGGUGAUAUUGAAGUGCAGGGGCUGAAAUCUGGGAGGAGGGCUUGGUGUGUUCAAAACUAUGCAACUCAUUGAUGAUAAAAAAGGGAUUGAAAAUCAAGGUGCCAUGUCUUUAAUUUCAAUCCAGUGUUUUUAAUAUUCAAAGCCUAUUUUGUAAGGCAUUAAGUUUAAUGUAAGCAUUCUCAGUAUAAUAUGUAUCUUGGAAAUGAAUAAACCCUUAUUAAAUAAACCAAUGGGGUUAACGCUUUUGGUAGUGACUUCUGCAGAUAUCUCAUGGUUUAGGAAUGAGAAUCAGUGGCUGGACUUCUAAGGAGGCGUGUAGACUUGAUCUGUAUUUUCCACCAAAGGGCCAUUUUUGACUUGAGGAAAGCCAACCUAAACAAGUAACUUUAGAGGCUGAGAAACAAACAGGGAACUAGCAUAGGUCUGAUCAGAGGCGCUCUCCAUCAUCCUUUGUUGUUGUUAUUGUCGCUUUUUAGGGCUGCACCUGAGGCAUAUGGAAGUUCCCAGG